rnacentral:misc_RNA from 1 species
GCAAAUUCGGGAGUAUAUAAAAAAGCCAAAUCGUUAGCCUAAAUGAACAGAAUAGUAGUAAGCUCAAGUUUGACACAAUUAUUAAUGAGUUUAAAAAUCAAGUUAGAGCUUCACUCAUUGUGCAAAUGAGUCGAGUCGAGCUAAGUUAAGUUUUUAUCGAAUCAAGUUUCGAGUAGCUCAUAAAUAGUUUGGCUCAUUUACACCUUAAUUGAAAUUAAGAGUGGAUACGGUUCGGCUCCUAAAAAGAAUCAAAAUUGAACUGAACUUUGGUUCUUUUUCUUUUGGUUUGGUUUGAUUCUUAGAUACCUCAAUUCAAUUUUGGUUCAAUUCUUCAAUACUUUGAUUCCAACUUGGUUCUUGAAAAAAAUUUUAUGCAAUUAUUGCCUUGUGAAGUCGAUCCACUCCGUCGACUUGUAAUUAAUAAUAAUAAUAAUA